UCUUUUCUUUCUCUGAACUCUCUUCCUUCUUUGUCACUAAAAUCCUCCUUCUCUCAUCUCUCUCACUGCUCUCUCUCCUUUGCUCUCACUGCCCCCUCUCCGCGUCUUCUCUUCCUCUCGCAACACCAGUUUAGGUGAUUUUUUUUAGGGUAAUUUUUAGAAUUGAGUUCAAGUUUAGAAUAAUGUUUGGAAUUGAUUUCAAAUUUAGAUUGGAUUUGGAUAUAUUCUGUUUAGAAUAAUGUUCGG
rnacentral:lncRNA from 1 species